GCCCCUGUAGAGCAAUGGAUAGCGCGUUGGGUUUCUAAUCCAAGGGUCGUGGGUACGAAUCCCACCUGGGAUG
rnacentral:tRNA from 1 species